CAGUGUGCUCUUUUAAUACUGAUUAUGCCAAUAGCCUGAGCAAAUAAACUGGAAGUUCCCGACGGCUCAUUCUUUGGAAAAAGGUCAUUCACCCUGUGCUGUGCAUGGCCCCACUAAAGAGGUGUGUUUUUUCAGGGACUGGGGCAAACCUCAUCUGUUGGACUCCCCUCACAGGUGACUCAGAAGCAGAAUGAAUCACAGUGCAUAGCACUCCGAGAGGACAGGACCUGGUCGCCAUAGGAAGGAGCUGACGGGUGCUCGGGGAGACGUCUUCACACAGUGGGGCUUGAAGACAUGGCAUCUGCACACUGAAGAAACACUGGUGAAGUCGUGAUCCACCCCAGUUGCAAAGACAAAUAUGAAGUUACUCUGGAUAAUCUCAUUUUUUCUGCUGCAAGACAUAGAAGCUUUCCUGCUGCAGAAUGCUAAAAUCAAACAGUGUUUACAAGCCAGCCCAACGGAUGGGAAUUUAUUGCUGUCGGACUGUAAUUCAGCAUCAGAUUUCCAGAACUGGGUUUGGCAAGGAGAUUCUUUGAGGAAUCGUGGCACACAGAGCUGCCUCUCUGUGGUGGAAGCCAACAGCGUGCAGACAAGUCCUUGUGACAGCAUGGGCUUCAUAAGCUGGGACUGCUCCAACUCGUUGCUCUUUCCUCUGGGCAACAGCCAGGGCUACCUGGUGGCAAGCAAAAAAGGAGUCACGCUCGAUAAUGUGAGAGGUCUCAAGGCUCAGUGGCAAAGCACUGCAGAGAGGAGUGUGUGCAAGGAGAAAGCAGCAGCACAAUAUAGCUACUUACCCGCAGCCCUUACCAGCACACGUGUGUAUGACCACACAGCAUUCAGUGCUGACCUUGUGCUGGAUAUGGAGCCAGAAAAGCUGGAGGAGCUGCUGUGGUUCUUCCGCAGAGAAGACCCAUCAGCAUGGAAUUACUCCAUCCUUGUGCUUUCCUUUGUGGCCACAAUUUUGGGUUUUGUCCUUCUGGCCAUUAACAUUUCACGAAACAGGAAAAGGAAGAUGCAUAAAGAAGUAGUGCAAGCUGCCCAGAAUUCUGAGCUGGAAAGCAAGCAAGCCCUCCUAACAGUGUCAGAAUACAGCCCAGAAAGCCUGCAGAAGCCAGAGCCGCUGCCACAGGAAGAGAGAUCGGGAGAGGUGCUGGUUCAGUGGAAGGAUGGGACUGUCACCACUCUGUACAGAGAGACAGCAGAGGAUGCCAUGUAACAGCUGGUGUCAAACGCCUUAGGGCAGUUAGGCCUUAAGGAACCUACCAGAAUAUCUCAAUUCACAGCAACAGAAGAUCGAAAAGUUGAAAAAUUUUAGCCUGGAAAAAAUAAAGAAAUAAAAAGAAAAAGAAAAAAAAAGAAA
rnacentral:lncRNA from 1 species